CUAAGAACCCUGAUUGACCAGGAAGAAAAAAAAUUAAGUCUGAAUCAUGUCCCUCAAGAGCUUGGCACACACGUGAUUUCAAUACAGUCCGUGUUCUGGAGGAAAGACGGGACUCUUGGAGCUUCAGUAAGGAACACAAAGGCCUUUGACUGCAAGGAACUCAGUCUACUGGGAGAGAUGGAUACAUCAACAGAAUCAUCGAAAUGCCUUUCCUUUAAAGCAAAGACCAUUCAGAAUCAAAGGCUCAUUUCCUGGAAAUACAGGGCUGGACGGCAGCCAUCCCUCAAAUGAGGCCCCAUGGAGAAGACUUGGAAAUGCACGCUCCCAACUCAGGUUUCCAGUGGAUGCAUAUUAAACCCCAAGGACUGGAAGCUGAGGUCAUGGAUUGCUUUCUCAUUGCUGUCAAGGUGCCCAAAAAAAAGAGACACUGUUUGCACCCCCGGGCUCACUGGUUCAGUCUUUCUCCUUCUUCCCCGGCUUCUCACCACUCCUCAUGCACUGUCGGUGGAAGCCCUGCCUCUACCUGCAAUAGGAAACUGAGCCGAGAGACGGUCCCCUUACGGCCUCUAACCUGCGCAUCUCAGGCACGAGAUCCUCUCCCUUCAGCAUUCCUGCCUUCCUUAUUCCCUGUGUCCUGGGACCUCUGCACACCUUAUCUCCAGCCCUGUUUGGCAUCGACAUUCUAA
rnacentral:lncRNA from 1 species